ensembl:lncRNA
CACCAUUACCGCCAUUACCACCAAACACCACAGCACUAUUACCACCAUUACCACCAAACAACACCAUUACUGCCAAACACCACAGCACUAUUACUACCAUUACCACCAAACACCACCAUUACUGCCAAACACCACAGCACUAUUACCACCAUUACCACCAAACACCACCAUUACCGCCAUUACCACCAAACACCACAGCACUAUUACCACCAUUACCACUAAAACCCCACCAUUACCACCAAACACCACCAUAACCACCAGACACCACCAUUACCACCAUUACCACCAAACACCACAUCACUAUUACUACCAUUACCACCAAACACCACCAUUACUGCCAAACACCACAGCACUAUUACCCACCAUUACCACCAAACACCACCAUUACCACCAAACACCACCAUUACCGCCAAACACCACAGCACCAUUACCACCAAACACCACCAUUACCACCAAA